rnacentral:tRNA from 1 species
GGGCUGUUAGCUCAGCUGGUUUAGAGCGCCUGCCUUACAAGCAGGAGGUCACUGGUUCGAAUCCAGUACGGCCCA